CCCCCCCCCCCCCCUCAGAAAAAACCUGGAUCCGCCCCUGUGUAUGUGUGUUUUACAAGACACUUAGAUUGAACAUAGUUUUCUACACAAGGGAAUGCGGUGUGUAGAGAAAGCAUGCACAGAUCAUGCGAGGCCUUUUGCAUGACUCUGCAAAGGUUGUGUAAAUCCAAUCCACAGCAAAUGUUAUUGUUGGACCUUAAAAAUAUCUGAUGGGUUAUUCUUUAACUGCAGCCGCUUGCAAAGGACGAUGCCACAGCAAUGAGUCAGCCUUAAAGUGAAGCAGCUACAUCCAUGGGAACAUAACAGCAUCAAGAUAAGCCAGCAGGUCUCUCUCAAGCCACAAUGGAUAUGGACAUCUCUGAGGGCUUGUCUGAUGUGCUAGCAAAGGUCUCCCAGUUCAAGGCCCUCCAGGACGCUCAAGGGUGAAGCUUCUGCAGCACUGCCUACACACAACCAAGCGACACCUCGAACAGCAAGGCAUACUAUGCCACAGCCAGCAGAAGACACGCCUGAAAAGGCCUUUCUAAAGCAUGAAGUAUGGCGUUACACAAUUACAAACUGCAACCAAGAAGAUGAAGGCUCUACGGCAAUCCCAUCAACAGCUUUUUCAAAAGGUUGCUCAUCUCGAAGAUGCCAUAGAAGAUUUAUCUGACAAUCGCAUUCUAGGGAAUGAGGAUGUCGCCAUAUUGCAGAGUCUUGGUGGGGCAAAAAAGACUUUCGCAUGCGUCAACUGCCACAUAAGUCUGGUGCCAGCAAUGUCACACGCUUACUCGCCAGAGCGCAGGCCAUUUGCACUAACUUUGCAUUUUUAUUCCCCUAGAGCAUACAGAUUUGAACGAGUUGUUUUCAACACAUGCCUCCCGCAUCCAAAGACGCUGUGUAAAUGAUAUCAAUCCAUUGAUAAGGCUGCUGGCUUUUCAAAAGAGGCAAUGACUGCAUUGGCUAUGAAGGUAAAGCAUGGCUCUCCAGAUUAUGCAAUCUGGUUGUGGAUGAGAUGGCCAUUCAGAAAAAUGGUGUGGGAUGAAAAAAAGGUUUCAUGGAUAUGUUGACAUGGGCAUCGAUGUCAAUGAUGACAGCUUUCCAGUUGCCAAAGAUGCAUGUGUUUUAAUGCUUGUUGCAAUCAAUGGCAGAUGGAAGCUGCCGAUUGGCUACUUUCUAGUGCAUGGCCUUGGUGGUGAGCAGAGGCGCAGUUUGGCGCUGCAAGUUGCUAGCUUUGCUCACGAAAAAGGUGCACACAUUGCGAGUUUGACCAGCGAUGGUGCUGCAGCGAAUUUGUCAUUGCUGCACAGCCUUGGCUGCAAGAUGGACCUGACUGAGCUGGAUGCUUCUUUUCCGCAUCCAGUGACCAAAAAAGCUUCUCUUUGCCAUGUUGGAUCCCUGUCACGUUGAAGCUACUGCGGCACACCCUGUUUGAUAAAAAGGCUAUUGUGAUAUGAACAAACAGUUCAUAUUGUUCAAACACAUUGAUGAGCUGCAUGAAAUCCAGUACACAGAGGGCCUACAUAUUUGGCAAACAAACUUAGACAGGCACAUAUUAACUGGAAAAACCAGCCCAUGAAAGUCUCAUUGUUGGCUCAAACGUUUAGUCAAUCGGUAGCAGAUGCUCUUAGUGACUGCAGAGCUCAGAAAAAUUCAAAAAUUUCAAAUUCCUUGCCAACAGAAGAGUUUAUCAGACAUGUCAACAAUGCAUUUGACAUUUUAAAUUCAAGACAUCCAAGGCAAGAAGAAUAGAAAGGACCGCUGUGUCCUGAAAAUGUGGCUCCUGUCACUGCGUAUGUCAAAGAACUUAUGGCCUACUUUUGCUCACUUAGGGAGUCUGCAGCUGGUAAACUAAUGACAGCGACAACCAAAAGACAGGCUUCAUUCGCUUUGUGAUGUGCUUUACAGAAAAUGGCCUAUUGGCAUAUCUUCUGACUUCCAAGCUCAGUCAGGAUCACCUUGAGUUACUUUUUGCUGCAAUAAGAUCAUUUGGGGGCUGCAAUGACAACCCAACAGCAAAGCAGUUUGCAGCAGCAUUGAAGCGUCUGAUAGUUCGCAAUGAGGUCAAGGACAUUGAUGACAGAAAUUGCUUUCUAUUGGAACACAUCGAAAUUCUCUUUGUACGCUCCUCUGAAAAACCAUCCUCCAUCGAUCUAAUUAACUUGACUGCCCCUCGGAGAAGCCCUGCAGCCAGUGAACCACUCACGGAAGCAAUUUUACAAGAUCAUGGCUACUCUGCCGACCCAGGCAGGGUGUCCGAGCUUGGGUGUCUGUGACUCGCAGUACAGGAAAAACUGCUACACAAGUUUCCUCGUAGGUGAAUUAUGUUCAUGAUGGCCCACACAAUUAAUUCCUUUAUCCAUCAACUUCGGCUGUCCCACCAGGUUCUAUGUUAAGGCAUUUGUUUUUUGAGUGACGUUGUAAAGUGCAUACAUAUAUUGUUCAAGAGCGUUGUAUGCAGAUGUCAAACUUUUAUAAAGGAAAAAUGAGAUACCUUAUUGUAAAUUUUUCAAGCAGAUGUUUGUUGUCUUGAUGAAUGCUGUAGCUUGAAUCACCUGCAUGCAAAUUAUGCUUAAACAAUUGUUCUGUUCAGCCUAAGCUAAACAGUGUGGACAAUGACGGUAUGUUAGCUGGCCUACCUUUCACUAGAGCAAACUGUGUGAUGACAAUGGACAUGCUGUGAAUGCUCUCACUGGAUUAUGUGUGAGCCAAGUAUACUCUUGAGGAUGACAAUGUUUUUUUUAAAAUGUUUAUCCUGUAUGUCUUUUACCUGACCUUUGUGGAAAUUUGCCUAUGUCACCUGGAAUACCGUUGGAUUUACUAUAUUCAAAAUAAUUUAAUGUGCUCACUCUGUUCACUUGCUUUACAAUAGCCUUUUAUGAUGCCAGAUUCACUGUAGCCACAAACAUCUGGUGUAUACCACUCAGUGUUUUAAAUACCGUGAAAUAUUAAUUCAUUUGAGGUUCACAACGUAAUAGAGCCGUCGUCUCUUAAUUUUGCGGUGUGUUGGCUCAGCUUCGACGGUGCUUUUUUGUAGGUAUGCGAUACAACAUAAGCUUUGUUGUACAUUUUACUUCCCACAAAAUACAUUGUAUUUUAAUGUUGACAUACUUAGUUUGUGGGUCUGACCUCACAUCAAUUCUUUGAACUUUGACUUUGUGAACUACCACUUUUUUUUUUGAUUUCUGCAUAUGUAUUGCUUACUUUUCUGACAAGCACAAUCGCCGAAACAUUUCAAUAUUUGUGAGGACAGCGCACAUUACUGUAUAAUUGUAUAUUAUACAAUUAUAGCCCUAUAUUGAAGGCGUUGCAUACAAGGCAUUGUAAGCAAAACUGCAGCUACAUUCAACUUAAGGAGGACAGCUGAUCCGAUUGACGUUUUAUUAAAGGUAUCAAUACUACGUGUCAUAGUUUACUUUGUAUUACACUAUACAAAUGUCCCGUGGCAUAUAAGUAUGCUAAUACUGAUACCGAAGAGCAGUGGCAUUAUAAGUUUUCCUACUUGCUGUUUAUAAUUUUUUUUUGUGUAUUAUCCUUGCAAUGUGCUUCAUUUAAAUUAUAAAUGUGGCUUCCUUCUGUAUUUGUGUGAAAUCUUCUGGCUUCCAUAGGUGCAAUAAACAUUGAAUAAAGAAUGAAACAAUUACUGUUGUCAUAAAAAUGUGCUUUCCAUAGUACAAGUACACUAGCAACACAAUGAAUCCACAAGUACAAAUGAAUGCUGCCA